rnacentral:lncRNA from 1 species
GAAUUAAUUGAUGUUGUUCUCUUCCCUGCAUCAAGUUUAACUGUAGUAUUUAAGAAGUAAAGAACUGCCAGCAGAGCCAGCUCUUCCAGUCUGUAGCUCUACCAUUGCCAUCAAUCCUGGUUUUGAUCUACUUGUGGCACUAGCUAUGGGCUGUGGAAAGAACCUCAGAAAGAUAGUAGACUGAUUGAAUGCAAUAUAUUACAUAGACAAAGCAGUAACUAGUUGUGAAGCACUUUUUCAGGGGGAAUAUCUGCACUCUGUUAGAUCUCACCCACCAGAAAUAUUUGUGGGACUCAAACUGCUGGUGCCACCUAUCACAUGAAUUUUGUGAUCCAGCAGCUAUACAUAUAUAUUCCACUGGAAGCAGUGUUCUCGCAAUUGAAUGCAUAGGUAAAAAUAUAGACAAUGAUUUUUUGAAGAUGAGAAGCAGAACGGUGAGUAAUGUUGAUCCCCAAGAUAAUUUACUAGAAUAUUUUUAUUAAUUUGAAGACAAACCAGAGUUAAGUAAGACAGGAGAUAGAAAAUCGUACAAUAUUAAUGUCCUAGGACACCUUCAAGACAUCUUUGUUCAUUUAGCCGUUUUCAAACUGCAAUCCUAUGUACCCAGAGAGUUUUGGCAACAGUUAAG